UACAGAGGGCUCAAGCGUUGUUCGGAUUCAUUGGGCGUAAAGGGUGCGUAGGCGGCGCGGUAAGUCGGGUGUGAAAUCUCGGAGCUUAACUCCGAAACUGCAUUCGAUACUGCGGUGCUUGAGGACUGGAGAGGAGACUGGAAUUCAUGGUGUAGCAGUGAAAUGCGUAGAGAUCAUGAGGAAGACCAGUGGCGAAGGCGGGUCUCUGGACAGUUCCUGACACUGAGACACGAAGGCCAGGGGAGCAAACGGG
rnacentral:rRNA from 1 species